rnacentral:rRNA from 1 species
UACGUAGGGACCGAGCGUUGUCCGGAAUCAUUGGGCGUAAAGAGCGUGUAGGCGGCUAUUUAAGUCCUGCGUGAAAUCCUGCGGCUCAACCGCAGACGGUCGUGGGAAACUGGAUGGCUAGAGUGCGGGAGAGGAGAGUGGAAUUCCCGGUGUAGCGGUGAAAUGCGCAGAUAUCGGGAAGAACACCCGCGGCGAAGGCGGCUCUCUGGAACGCAACUGACGCUGAGGUGCGAGAGCGUGGGGAGCGAACCGG